rnacentral:rRNA from 1 species
CAGUGGAAACUGAGAGACUAGAGAGCGUUCGGGGCAGAAGGAAUUCCUGGUGUAGCGGUGAAAUGCGUAGAUAUCAGGAAGAACACCGGUGGCGAAAGCGUUACUGCUAGGCCGCGACUGACACUGAGGGACGAAAGCUAGGGGAGCGAAUGGGAUUAGAUACCCCAGUAGUCCUAGCCGUAAACGAUGGAUAGCUAGGCGUGGCUUGUAUCGACCCGAGCCGUGCCGGAGCUAACGCGUUAAGUAUCCCGCCUGGGGAGUACGCACGCAAGUGUGAAACUCAAAGGAAUUGACGGGGGCCCGCACAAGCGGUGGACGUAUGUGGUUUAAUUCGAUGCAACGCGAAGAAACCUUACCAGGACUUGACAUGUCGCGAAUCUUCCUGAAAGGGAAGAGUGCCUUCGGGAGCGCGAACAC